AUGCAAAACUAUUAGAAUAUGUGAUGCAAGUUUUAAAAAAAUCGAAACAUUUUUGUUAAAUAGGUUAUUUAAUACAUUAGUUUAUUAUGAGAUGAUAUUCUCCAAUGAGAGCAAGAAAUUCAAAAUCAGUCAACUUUACACCCGAUCGAACACCCCUUUAAAAUUGUGAAGCAUGUUUCAAUAACUCAAAAAUCUCAACUGACACGAAUACUUUGUGGCAGGAUUUUCUCAGUUUUUUUCGUCGCGCUCGACGGUCUCGGUUGCCCAGGCGAUUCCAAGUUAUUCCCAUUCCAUUCUAGGCUAUGCCAUCUAUUAUUUUUUCUCGAUCAUCGCGCACUUGGCAAAUUUUGCGGUGUUCUUUGAAGUGUUGGCUUUCCAACGAUCGGCACACAUACGUCAUCCUAGAUUGGCACUACGGGCGAAUGACAGGCGUUAGGAAGUUGUGAGUAAUAAAUAGAUAUUUUUACACAAAAUAUGGUUUUAUGCUGAUUUCGUUAUUUAAAGUGCGUUAUAUUAACUAUUAAAAACUGCCUUCUGCAGGAAAGGACUGUUUUUUUUCCUCGAUCACACCGCGGGCUAUUUGAUUUGAAUUUGAUUUUCUUCUUACUUAUUCUUUCUUCUUCUUACUUCCUUCUUUCUUCUUGGACAAUUGUUUUGUAAUAGCUUCUUCAUCUCUCUCCUAAACACUUCUAAACCCUAUUACCGUUAAAACAUUGUAAAUGAAACAAAUAAAGAAGUUGGAUAUUACCGCGAGUUGAUCGCUGCAACAAUUUUCAAAAUUUAUGCUUUAUGCUUGGUGUGCUGGUGUGAAAAAAGAGGAAAGACAAGGAACUGUCUGUGAAAGAAGUUUCUACAAGGAAAAGUACGCAUGUGAAUGCUUGAAGAUCGAAGAACUUAAAACACUUCCCCAAAACUCGCAAUAGUGGUUUGCAAGCGUAUGGAUUGUAGAAUCAGACUACGCCGAAGAGAGAGUGAAAGUAUGAGUGAGUUCAUGAAGCGAUCAAGAAAAGGCUAAGAUGCGCGUGGAUCGGACAGGUUAGGAAGAGCUCUUAGGAACGUGCUUCGAAAUAGUGCCGAUCGAGUGUUUCCCUGGUGGAAGGUAGCAGACGGACAGCGAGAAAACGUUACUCCAGAGUAACGAAGAAGAGGGUGCGUCGUGUAAAACCGCCCGUAGACGGUGCAUACUUGAGGCCGGCGACUUUUGACAACCACCGAUUUUCUUUCGUUCUUGUAUGCUGUCAGAUGCGUCUCUGUAGCUCAAGAUCCGGGAACGUUUCACGUUUGACUUCCCUAAGGAUGUUGGUCCCGCACUUCUUUGGUGUCUCCCCACUCCGUCGGAAGAAUUAGGCGAAACUAGCCAGCUUCGGCAGACGGUUAAAUACUUCUCUUGGUCAUCCGACUCUCUACUACUUCUCGUGGUAACCGCCCGACUCUAACGAUUCUAAUACAGUAAAAUGAAUCUGCGCGGAGGUUUCCGAAUCGACCAUUCCUUCGCGUGCCCGGUUCAACAACGGUUCGUUAUCGAACUAACACUUUGACAAAAUAUGAAGUGAAAAAUGUUCAUUGGCUGUUUCAGCCGGUGGAAUACGAUUGCGUCUUGUAGGGAUCAUCAUGCACUGCAAGAUACUACGAGCCGUGAUUCCGGUCAUACACCGUUUUUGAACCCAACCAAACAACCGACAGCUCCAUCUAAGCAACAGUCAAUCGUAAGUAAACAUUUGCCGUCUAACUAAACUUCAGACGUCCAACUAAACAGCGUUCAACCGUAACUAAACAUUUACAACCUCCAACCAAACCAAAUGUAUAUAGUACAGGGUUUACUUCUUAGUAAGCGUUCGCGUGUCUUGUCAGUCACAGGUAAACACAUGCACAUACAUACACACACAUGUAUUACAAUACCAACUAAUACUAAUACUAAUAAUACAAUAAUAACAACUAGGAAUUGUGAAAAUUACUUUCACCAUAUGUGGGGUUACCUUUCGCGAUGUUUGAUGGGAGAAGAGAUUACUGAUUAAGGAAUGAAUUGAAUACUUAUAAAAAUUAGAUAAAUAAUUUCACAAUUUCAAAACAUUUCUCUUCCAUUCCAGAUUCGAUGCAAAUGGAACGAUCCUGGUAAAAAUAGAAGGUAAACCUUUUUUGUGAAAGUUUAAAAAAAAAACCAUGAAAAACCAACUAAAAUUUCAAGCAAUAAUAAAAAA